rnacentral:misc_RNA from 1 species
GAUGAAGAACGUAGCGAAAUGCGAUAAGUAAUGUGAAUUGCAGAAUUCAGUGAAUCAUCGAAUCUUUGAACGCACAUUGCGCCCACUAGUAUUCUGGUGGGCAUGCCUGUUCGAGCGUCAUUAACUCCCCUCAAGCCCUACUGCUUGGUAUUGGGAGACUACAGCCUCGCUGUAGCUCCUCAAAGUCAGCGGCGGAGUCGUGUCAUCCUCUGAGCUUAGUAAUUACUUUCUAGCUUGCGAGCGAGGCGCGUCCCCUGCCGUAAAACACCCAACUUCUUUAGUUUGACCUCGGAUCAGGUAGGAAUACCCGCUGAACUUAAGCAUAUCAUUAAGCGGAGGA